rnacentral:rRNA from 1 species
GAAACCUGCCCCCCAGACCGGGAUAGCCCAGGGAAACUUGGAUUAAUACCGGAUACUCUCUUUGGACCGCAUGGUCCGUUGAGGAAAGGUCCGCUGCUGGGGGAUGGUCUCGCGGCCUAUCAGGUAGUUGGUGAGGUAACGGCUCACCAAGCCGAAGACGGGUAGCUGGUCUGAGAGGACGAUCAGCCACACUGGAACUGAGACACGGUCCAGACUCCUACGGGAGGCAGCAGCAGGGAAUAUUGCACAAUGGGCGAAAGCCUGAUGCAGCGACACCGCGUGCGGGAUGAAGGCCUUCGGGUUGUAAACCGCUUUCAGGAGGGAAGAAAAUGACGGUACCUCCAGAAGAAGGCCCGGCCAACUACGUGCCAGCAGCCGCGGUAAUACGUAGGGGCCAAACGUUGUCCGGAUUUAUUGGGCGUAAAGGGCUCGUAGGCGGUUCAACAAGUCGGUCGUGAAAGCCCGGGGCUCAACUCCGGGACGCCGGUCGAUACUGUUGUGACUAGAGUUCGGUAGAGGUGAGUGGAAUUCUCAGUGUAGCGGUGGAAUGCGCAGAUAUUGAGAGGAACACCAUUAGCGAAGGCGGCUCACUGGGCCGAUACUGACGCUGA